CGAGAACCCUGAGGGCCGAAGUGGAGAAGGGUUUCUCGAGAACGGCACUCGCUCGAGAGUUAGUCGAUCCUAAGCUGCCGGCGGCAGCCACGAAACGGUCGAUCGGGCGCGAGCCCGGCAGCCACGACCGGGCAGCGAAAGGGAAUUGGGGAACCUCCUUCCCAAACCCGGAACCGGAACGAGGGCGGCGACGCGAACGAAACGGCCGCGGAGACGGCGGCCGCGGCCCCGGAGAGAGUUCUCUUUUCUGUGCGACUGGACGUCGGCCCCGGAAUCGCGUCGAGCGGAGGGGGGGUCGGAGUUCAGGAAUAGCACCCCGGCCUUUCGGGGUGUCCGGGCGGCCGCGGUCGUCCCAUGAAAAUCCGCGGAUGAACGAGUAGGCGACGGUCCGGGUCGUACCGAACGACCGCAUCGGGUCUCCAAGGUUGAAAGCCUCUGGCUAACGGGAC
rnacentral:rRNA from 1 species